GGAAGCGUGGCUGAGUGGACGAAAGCAGCAGUUUCGAAAACUGCCGUGUCAGAAAUGGCACCGGAGGUUCGAAUCCUCCCGCUUCCG
rnacentral:tRNA from 1 species